ensembl:lncRNA
CACACGAUUGAGCUCAGUUUCAUUCAAGCCACAAUGAUGUCAUACUUGUGGAUUUUCGUCCUUGGAAUUUUAAUCGUGACUGGAGUGAAGAUGCAAGACGAUGGAGUGGAAGGCGCAGACAAUGCCGAUUCUCCGGCAGACGAGCUCGCUCCAGAGGACUCAACCGUUCCUGCUGAAGCUGCAGACGCUGAAGAACCAGCUAAAGAACCAUCACCUGAAGAAACAUCACCUGAAGAAAUAUCACCGGAAGAACCAGCACCUGAAGAACCAGCACCCGAAGAACCAGCACCUGAAGAACCAGCACCUGGAGAAAUAUCACCUGAAGAAACACCUGAAGACCCAGCGGAGGAUGCUGUGGAUGAGGCAGCAGCUACUGCAGAGCCUGAAGACACCAACCCUGAGUCAGACGCUGCGAUAGAAGAGGCUGAAGAAACACCAGCAGCUGAAGAGAAACCUGCUGAAGCAGAAGCAGAAGAAGCAGCGGCUCCUGAAGCAGAUGACGCCGAUGCAACUAAAACAGAAAUCAAGCCCGAAGAAGCUCCAGAUGAUGCAGAAACAGAGGAAGCUCAAGAGGAAGCAGAAGGAGGGGAAGCAGAUGCAGGCGCAGAGACUGAAGCAGGCUUUACUGCUGUACCAGAGGAACCUGUGGACCCUGAAGGGGCUGUGGAAGAUAUUUCUGCAGAAUUCGAUCUUUCUGAUGCGUUCGAAGAGAAAGCACAACCACAGGAUCCAGUAAAGACAAAAAUGGGAGAUGCAGACCAGCACAGCGCAGGUCAAGGCAGAGCUCGCAGCGCUGGAGCCGUUUCUGAGCCGAACGACAGUGGAUCUGGUACGGUUGUUGGUGUUGUUUGUGGGAUUGCAGUAGCAGCUGUUGGUGCCAUAAUCGGAUACUUCACCUACCAGAAGAAGAAACUGUGCUUCAAGGUCCAGAGAGGUGAUCCAGAGAGUGCCAAAGAAGAGAACGGCACACAGAACCCUGAGGGUGAGCCAUUCACUGCUCGUUUUCACCUUGAAAUCAUGGUUUUCACUGAUAUUUAUGUAUUUGUAUGGCACUUGAUGGACUUUGUAUGGCCAUAAACAGGUGCUUCUCAGCUGGUGGGUCUCAGAUCUGCUCAGCAAGGAGAAACUUUGAUGAAAGCAAAUAAUGAAAUACAACUAUUUCUGCAGAAUUUGGACAACAAAAUAGACUUACAAAUUCUUGAAGGGAGAAAUUACAUUCUAUUGUAUGCAUUCUUAGAAGGGAAACACUGUCCAUAUCUUUUGCUGCUGAUGUCACCUCUAACUACCCAGCAACCACCCAGAACCCCUUAGCGAUUACCUAGCAACACCCUAGUAACCACUCAGAACCUCCAAGAACUACCUAGCAACCACCCAGGACCUUUUAAUGAUUACCUACCAACACCCUAGUAACCACUCAGAACCCCCAACAACUACCGAGUAACCACACAGAACCUCCAACAACUACCUAUCAACCGCCCAGAACUCCUUAACGAUUACCUAGCAACACCUUAGUAACCACACAGAACCCCCAACAACUACCUAGCAACCACCCAGAACCCCUUAACGAUUACCUAGCAACGCACUAGUCACAACACAGGACCUCCAACAACUACCUAGCAACCACCCAGAACCUAUUAAUAACUACCUAGCAACACCCUAGUAACCACUCAGAACCCCCAACAACUACCUAGUUAAACCACCCAGAACCCCUUAAUGAUUACCUACCAACACCCUAGUAACCACUCAGAACCCCCAACAACUACCUAGUAACCACCCAGAACCCUUAAUGAUUACCUAACAACACCCUAGUAACCACACAGAACAACACCCUAGUAACCACUCAAAAGCUCCAGCAACUACCUAGUGACCACCCAGAACCCCUUAACGAUUACCUAGCAACACCUUAGUAACCACACAGAACCUCCAACAACUACCUCGCAACCACCCAGAACCCCUUAACGA